GUCUCUUUGCAUGCAGUUCUGGUCACCACUGGCUGAGCUUUUCAAGUUAGACCCACGGGCCAGAGCUGACACAUCGUCUUGUUGGGAGACUCGUGCAGUAGUUUCUAACACCGCAGCUUAUGAUGGGCACCAACCUCUUCUGUACUGCUGUUCACGGGACAUGGAAAUACAAUGUCAGCAAGGCCACGGCAGGAUGCACUCCCUUGGCGAAGCAAUCUUGAUGCUGUUUCACGGUCCACUCUGCAAUGACGAGAAGACAUAUCCAAACCAGAGACGUAGAAGUGACGGCCCAGAAUUGCAUGGAAUGGCGCAGGAUGGUCCACAAGAGACGUUGCCUUGAUGCAGACCACUUGACACAACGAUGAAGAGACCUUAUCAAGUAUCAAGAAACCGCAUUGAUCUGGAAGUCU